UACGGGGGGGGCAAGCGUUGUUCGGAAUUACUGGGCGUAAAGGGCUCGUAGGCGGCCAACUAAGUCAGACGUGAAAUCCCUCAGCUUAACUGGGGAACUGCGUCUGAUACUGGAUGGCUUGGAUUCGGGAGAGGAAUGCGGAAUUCCAGGUGUAGCGGUGAAAUGCGUUGAUAUCAGGAGGAACACCCAUGGCGAAGGCAGCAAACUGGCCGGCAUCUGACGCUGAGGCGCGAAAGCGUGGGUAGCAAACAGG
rnacentral:rRNA from 1 species